CUUAGAUCGUACCUACUACAUGGAUAACUGUAGUAAUUCUAGAGCUAAUACAUGCCACUAUGCCCUGACCCGCAAGGGAACGGGUGGAUUUAUUAGAACAGAACCAACCGGUCGUGGCUCCGGCUACUUCCGUUGCACUCUGUGAUGACUCUGGAUAACUUCACUGAUCGCAGUCGGCCUUGUGUCGGCGACGGAUCUUUCAAAUGUCUGCCCUAUCAAUUUUCGAUGGUAGGUGAUCUGCCUACCAUGGUGAUAACGGGUAACGGGGAAUCAGGGUUCGAUUCCGGAGAGGGAGCCUGAGAAACGGCUACCACUUCCAAGGAAGGCAGCAGGCACGCAAAUUACCCAAUCCCGGCACGGGGAGGUAGUGACGAAAAAUACGGAUACGGGACUCGAGAGAGGCUCCGUAAUUCGAAUGAGUACAAUUUAAAUCCUUUAACGAGGAUCAACUGGAGGGCAAGUCUGGUGCCAGCAGCCGCGGUAACUCCAGCUCCAGAAGCGUAUAUUAAAGUUGUUGCAGUUAAAAAGCUCGUAGUUGGAUCUGGGUCGUAUGGCUACGUGCCGUCGCUCGUAUUCUUUAUCCGGUCACGACUGGGUUUAGUUUGUGAGUCGGUUCCGUGGCUGUGCAGCCUUUCUGCCGUGUCUGUUUCGACAGGUGCUGGCUAAAUCGGUGGGCUUGUCCCGGUCGGUUGGUUGGCAUGCUUCCAGAUGCCUUUAAACGGGUGUCGGGGGCGGACG
rnacentral:rRNA from 1 species